UGGGGAAUCUUAGACAAUGGGCGAAAGCCUGAUCUAGCGAUGCCGCGUGUGUGACGAAGGCCUUAGGGUCGUAAAGCACUUUCGCCAGGGAUGAUAAUGACAGUACCUGGUAAAGAAACCCCGGCUAACUCCGUGCCAGCAGCCGCGGUAAUACGGAGGGGGUUAGCGUUGUUCGGAAUUACUGGGCGUAAAGCGCACGUAGGCGGACUAUUAAGUCAGGGGUGAAAUCCCGGGGCUCAACCCCGGAACUGCCUUUGAUACUGGUAGUCUUGAGUUCGAGAGAGGUGAGUGGAAUUCCGAGUGUAGAGGUGAAAUUCGUAGAUAUUCGGAGGAACACCAGUGGCGAAGGCGGCUCACUGGCUCGAUACUGACGCUGAGGUGCGAAAGCGUGGGGAGCAAACAGGAUUAGAUACCCCCGUAGUCC
rnacentral:rRNA from 1 species